GUGCUGGCUUCGGCAGAGCAUACACUAAAACUGGAACAAUACAGAGAAGAUUAGCAUGACCGCUGCUCAAGGAUGACAUGCAAGCCUUAUUUUUAUUUAUUUAUUUAU
ensembl:snRNA U6 U6 spliceosomal RNA